UCCGAGUUGACCCCGGCAGUCUCCCAUGAGUCCCCACCAUCACGUGCUGGCAACAUGGAACGAGGGUUGCGCUCGUUGCGGGACUUAACCCAACAUCUCACGACACGAGCUGACGACAACCAUGCACCACCUGUGGACCGGCCCCGAAGGGAGGACGCAUCUCUGCGCCUGUCCGGCCCAUGUCAAGCCUUGGUAAGGUUCUUCGCGUUGCAUCGAAUUAAUCCGCAUGCUCCGCCGCUUGUGCGGGCCCCCGUCAAUUCCUUUGAGUUUUAGCCUUGCGGCCGUACUCCCCAGGCGGGGCACUUAAUGCGUUAGCUGCGGCGCGGAGGACGUGGAAUGCCCCCCACACCUAGUGCCCAACGUUUACGGCGUGGACUAC
rnacentral:misc_RNA from 1 species